UACAGAGGUCUCAAGCGUUGUUCGGAUUCAUUGGGCGUAAAGGGUGCGUAGGUGGCGCUGUAAGUCGGGUGUGAAAUUUCGGAGCUUAACUCCGAAACUGCAUUCGAUACUGCGGUGCUUGAGGACUGGAGAGGAGACUGGAAUUCAUGGUGUAGCAGUGAAAUGCGUAGAGAUCAUGAGGAAGACCAGUGGCGAAGGCGGGUCUCUGGACAAGUUCCGUGACACUGGAGGCACGAAGGCCAGGGGAGCAAACGGG
rnacentral:rRNA from 1 species